AGAAACUUCCUCAACCUCUGCCUUCGCUGCAUUAAACUGAAGUUGGAGCUCUUCCCUCCCACUAACAGUGGCCAGGAGUUCAGACCUGCAUUCCAUAAGCUCUUCGGCAAGGGAGUUGCACCUUUCAUGAACUUCAUCGAGUGAAGCCCUAAGCACAGAUAGUUCAUUAUCCAUUUGCUGAAAUUGAUGAUCAUGCUCAGUUUGCAAAUAUGACUGUUCAGUGAGUUGCACUUCCAGUAUAUCCUUCAUACAGCUUGUGAGAAAUAAUUCUUCCCUGAGUCUCUCCUUUAAACGAGGACGACCAUGUUCCAGUGAAAUCAAACUAUCAGUCAAUCCUCUUGACCUAAGCAGCAAUCCAUACUCAUCUUCAUUGAGCCCCUUUAUCACUUCAAUGAGUUGAGAGAGGCUGAUUGGGCAUGCAUCAACAGAAGGAGAUGUAGUGAGGUCAUCAUAUGAAUUUGUCAAUUCAGCUAACUGAGGCUCUUCAUGGCUUUUACCCACAAAUAUAAAAGAAUCCUCAG
rnacentral:misc_RNA from 1 species